GUGAGGAAUAUUGGUCAAUGGACGAGAGUCUGAACCAGCCAAGUAGCGUGAAGGAUGACUGCCCUAUGGGUUGUAAACUUCUUUUAUAAGGGAAUAAAGUGAGGGACGUGUCCCUUUUUGUAUGUACCUUAUGAAUAAGGAUCGGCUAACUCCGUGCCAGCAGCCGCGGUAAUACGGAGGAUCCAAGCGUUAUCCGGAUUUAUUGGGUUUAAAGGGAGCGUAGGUUGACAUAUAAGUCAGCUGUGAAAGUUUACGGCUCAACCGUGAAAUUGCAGUUGAUACUGUAUGUCUUGAGUGUACAAGAGGUAGGCGGAAUUCGUGGUGUAGCGGUGAAAUGCUUAGAUAUCACGAAGAACUCCAAUUGCGAAGGCAGCUCACUGGGGUACAACUGACACUGAGGCUCGAAAGUGUGGGUAUCAAACAGGAUUAGAAACCCUGGUAGUCC
rnacentral:rRNA from 1 species